AUUUUUCAUGAGGGCAAAAUAGGAAAUGCAAAUAAAAAAUAAAUAAAAUAAUGACAUAAAAUAAAUAAAGAGAGAUUAAAUAAAAAGGAGUUGGUUUGGUUACCAAAGCAAAGACCAGUCAAUAGUCAUACUAAUCUUCUCUUUGCUUCAUCACCUAGAGCAUAUCGACAAGCUCAAGACCAAAGCAAAUGAUCAGUCACAAUUAUCUUCUCUUUCCUUUCACCUCGCCUAAAAUGGACAAGCUCAAUAAAUCAGUCAUUUUCUCAAGUGACCAAGAUGUGUUUCCAUAUCUCUUUAACAGAAAUGGUGUUAAGAUUUAUGCAUCUCGUCGAUCUUUAUAAGCUUAAUCUUCCAAAACGCCCCAUAUUUUCUCUGAUUUCACCUUGUUAAAGCCUUCGCCGUUUACUUCUUCACGUCGUUCCUGGUGGAUCCAUUUCGGAGGUCAGUUUUUCUAUAUUCAGCUAGUUCGUCUUUUUUACUGUCUAUUCUUUUGCAAAAAAAAUAAAAUAAAAUUGGGACAGUCAUUAGAGAAUCUCUGUUUUGUAUUGAAAGAUAAAUAUAGCCCAGUAGUUUGAGAUUGAUGCUAGUAUUUUUCGAAAUGUAAAUGUAUAUGUAUAUGGGCUCGUGUGUAAUGUAGUUUUUGCUAAUCGCUAUUACUUAAUAUAGCACUAUUCUUUAUUGCUGUAAAUUCUUGUGUAAUGAUCGUGUUCCUCUCUGAUUGAGAUGAAAAUAGGAUAAGGGUGUAUAUAGUUAAGCAAUAAAGAUAAGUCAAAAGGCUUCGAAGAGUACAAAUACUAAAAUUAAAUUGUAAAGGUAAAUGAUAAACUUGACAUUGAGAAUCUCUUAGGAAUAAAUGAUAUAUCCAUUAAACAGCAAAAGAAGUCGUGAUGAAAUUAAAUUUGUUCUUGCUGACAAUUUCAUAUGCUAAUUGCUUCUAUUUUCUUCCACAUCAAAACUCUUUUUCUUGGACUUCUCUAUAGCACUUGUAUUUUGAAGGGUUUGUAAGCUAAUACAAUUUUUUCCAUUCCACAUAUACUUCUCAACAUUUAUCACAACGCCGCCAACUUGAGCUCGUGCAGACCUAUGAGAUGAAUCAUCCUCCGUUGGCCUUCUUGGCUGUAAAAAAAAUAAAGAACGCAAAUGUAUUACCUAUCUCUAAAAGUACUAAAUCACCUAUAUUUAAAGUCCCAUACAUACAUUGAGUUUAGAAGGUUCAUUUAUAUGUCCAGUCCAAUAAGUGGACUCAAAAUUGAUUUGUUUACUUGGGUGGGAUGGACUUGUCGCAUUUUGAUACCAAUCUUGAGUUGUUUGAGUAGUUUGAGGUAGAGUUGUUGAAUUUGGGGAAUUACUACUCUUCUUGCAAGUUGUUUUGUUGUGACCAGUUUGUAAGCACUUGCUACACCUCCCCAACUUCCCUUUCUUACUCAAUUUGGUAGCAUCAUGCAUUUCACUUGUUGCAACUUGUUUUUUCUUUUUCUCUCUUCUCUGUUUUUUCAUCUCAACUGCUUUUCUCUUGGAGGCUUCAAUUUCAUCGGGCUCUUUUCUUCUAUUUUUGUUCAACUUACUUUUCUUUGGCUCAUAAUUAGGAGGGUUAACGUCAGGUAGAUCAGUAGGUUCCCACAUGUCAGGUCCAUCCAUUGGAGCAAUGACUGGCUCAUAAAUCCUCAUUUGAGUAGUCUUCUUGUAACAAUCAUGUAUAAAAUUUUCUGGAUUCUCUCUUAUAUGGAAUAUGCAGCUCAUUGCAUGUAAGCAUGGGAUUCCUGUAAGGUCCCAUCCUCUGCAUGAACAGGUUCUUCCACUCAAGUCUACACUAAAUUGUUCACCAUACAUGGUCUUUACUUGAAAUAAAAAUUUUCCAGCCCAAGUAGGAAUUGAUGUAGCUGAGUCUUCCUUCACUUUUUCUAUUAGUUUUCGGAUUCGAGGGCAUAAAUUUCCUGUUAUAGUAAAAUAUUGUUAGGAUCAUGUUAAAUAUUUUGUGCUUCAGAGAAGUUACAAUAACAAUAUUACCUUGGUAUUUGAGCAGGUCUUCCCUCUUUUGGUUCAGUUUCUUCAUCAGGUAUAUUCUAAUUCCUUCAAGUAGUCCAAGUAUAAGUUUCUCCCUUGCCCUUAAAAUGGGUUUUGUCCCAUUGAAUGCAUCACAAAUAUUAUUCAAAAGCAUGUCACACUUUGUUGUUGUUCUAAAAUGUGACUUGCUCCAGAAUUUGGGUGGUUUAUCGUUAAACCAAUUUCUAGCUUCUUUGUCCUCCUUUUCUAGCAUAUACAUCUCAUAUCUGUACUUACUUACAUAAGUUGCCCUUGCAGCUUUCCAAACUCUUGUCUUCAACGAUAAACCUUUUGGGCCAACGAUAAAAAAAAAGACAUAUUAUUUGUAUUUCUUAUUUUGCCCUCAUGAAAAAUUUAUAUAAAUGGUGAUUUUAUUGUUUUGCAAGGGAAUAAAGAGGUUAGGGUUGAAAUUGUAAAAAAACAUAGGACAGGGUGCAAAUCACAAAAAAGAAUACACAUUAGGGGUGCAAAAUGCGACGGACUCGAUUUUUACUGCUACUUCCUCACUUUUUUGAUUUUAUAUCUGUACUCAGUCCUGCUAUAGUCUACUGUUUUCAUAAUUCAGUCAUGCUUACUCUAUUUUAACACUUUAAAUGAUAUUUUGGGCUGAGCAUCAUAUUUUUACUGUGCCCGAGUGGCUUUUAGAGAUUUUUGACUGAGUAGGGAUGAGGGCCUGUGUUGUGAGGAUUAUUAUGGGAUCGGGCUGCACGCCGCAGCAGGGUUGUACUAAUUAUGAUUAUGAGGUCGAGGGCCUGAGUUGUACGCGAUAAGGUAGCUUGAUAUGAGGCCGAGAGCCUAUUUGAUUAUGCCACGAGAUGGCUUGAUAUUGCGCUUGGGCCAUAAAGGGCCCCUCUCGUAGUCUGUAUACCCCAGUGAGUGCGGGUACCUAGUAAGAUAUGUGAUAUAGCCCGAGGGGCUGUGGUUGUUCCAUGUUAUUGGCCGAGGGGCUGAUUUCUGUUGGUAUUGUGCCCGAGGGGCUGAGUUUUAUGUGUUUAUCUUUUCUCGCUACUUUUUAUUUACUUACUUAACUGUUAUAAAGGUGUUUUAAAGAAGCUUAUACUGAACUAAGGUGUUUUUAUAAGAUUUCACUAUUUUAUUGCAUUGUAUUGGUUUUACACUACCUCUUUAUAUCAUGUUGUUCUGCUUUACGUGAUUUAUUAUCACUCAGUCUUCAUUUAUUUUUAUUACUCACUGAGUUUGAGUACUCACUUUACUCCCUGUACCCUAUGUGCAGAUUCAGGAGCUUCGGGUCCCGCCAAUGAAGGUUGAUUGCUCCCAGCAGGCAAUUUGGAGUCCACUAGGUAGUUGCUUGGCAUUCGUAGCCCAGUGUUUCUCUCUACUAUUUUACUUCCAUUGUUCUAGUUCUGUAAUAGAUUGUAUAAACUCUUUCAUACUCUUAAACUUAUGUUAGAUGCUCAUGAUUAGUGACACCCGAUGUAAAGUUGUGUUGGUUUCCGCAAAUUGUACUAGUUCACUUUUAUUUUGGAAUUAUUAGCAUAUUAAUGACUUAAAUUGUGUUA
rnacentral:lncRNA from 1 species